rnacentral:rRNA from 1 species
CUUCCUACGGGACGCAGCAGUGGGGAAUAUUGCACAAUGGGGGAAACCCUGAUGCAGCAACGCCGCGUGAGUGAAGAAGUAUUUCGGUAUGUAAAGCUCUAUCAGCAGGGAAGAAGAUGACGGUACCUGAUUAAGAAGCCCCGGCUAACUACGUGCCAGCAGCCGCGGUAAUACGUAGGGGGCAAGCGUUAUCCGGAUUUACUGGGUGUAAAGGGUGCGCAGGCGGCCUGUUAAGUCAGCGGUAAAAGCCCGGGGCUCAACCCCGGCGAGCCGUUGAAACUGGCGGGCUGGAGUUGGGGAGAAUG